rnacentral:rRNA from 1 species
GGACCCGCACAAGUAGUGGAGCAUGUGGUUUAAUUCGAAGAUACGCGCAGAACCUUACCAACACUUGACAUGUUCGUCGCGACUUUGAGAGAUCAAAGUUUUCGGUUCGGCCGGACGAAACACAGGUGCUGCAUGGCUGUCGUCAGCUCGUGUCGUGAGAUGUUGGGUUAAGUCCCGCAACGAGCGCAACCCUCACUUUUAGUUGCCAUCAUUUAGUUGGGCACUCUGAAAGAACUGCCAGUGAUAAGCUGGAGGAAGGUGGGGAUGACGUCAAGUCCUCAUGGCCCUUACGUGUUGGGCUACACACGUGCUACAAUGGUAUCUACAACAGGAAGCAAAACUGCGAAGUUAAGCAAAUCCUUAAAAGAUACCUCAGUUCGGAUUGCACUCUGCAACUCGAGUGCAUGAAGCUGGAAUUACUAGUAAUCG